rnacentral:misc_RNA from 1 species
UUUCUGACCCGGCGGUGGACUUGGAGUUGGGCGUCUGCCGGUCACACGGCUCGCCUCAAAGACCUUAGUGGGAACAUCGGCCUAUGGCUUGACGUAAUAAGUUUCGUCUCGCACGGUCGGUGACGCCUGCUCACAACCAGCCCUCGGGCAAUUACUUUUUGCUAGACCUCAAAUCAGGUAGGACUACCCGCUGAACUUAA